ACCAGCUACACCUAACAUGUGA
rnacentral:snRNA from 1 species